AGAGGGGGCAGCUCGGUGGUAGAGCGUGUGCUUCGCGUGCACGAGGUCCUGGGUUCAAUCUCCAGCACUUCUA
rnacentral:tRNA from 1 species